GACUAUAUCACGUUGAAAAACCGGUUCCCGUACGGUCACCAAAGUUAAGCAACAUUGAGUUUGGUUAAUACCUAAAUAGGUGACCGCUUGGGAAUACCAGGUGCUGUAAG